GCGGGACUACUCCCAGCGUACGCAGUGGCCACUGCCCACUGUGCUGAAAUUACAUACUCCCAGUAUACCAGUGAUGCAGUGAUACUGAAGUUGGAGUCGACGAUGAGGCGCCGAAUGUGCCCAUAAUCAAAGCAGCUGCAUUGAUUUUGGGUAAGAUUCACUUCGGUUUGGCAAUGGGCAAUGGACGAUACUCAAGUAGAGGAGAGCGGUGAUAAGUUUAAUUGGACGGAGUACACGGUUUCUAUCUAAAAUAACAAAUAAAAUUGCAAUAAGUGCAAAAGGAGGAGUUAUCGAGAUUGGAUUUUUUGAGAUUGAGUGAAGCUGAAAAAGAUGUGUAUUGGACGCUUUCCGACAAAGCAAACGACGUAAUAUCUGUUUGCGCCAGCUUUCAGAAUUGUUAGAUAUGCCGUUGAUUCAAGAGCGAGCUUCCAACCAGCAGGUUAUGCGAAACCACGCAACGAGGCUUGCAGUCUAAAGUUAGUUCGAAAAACCAGUAGCGGUGGUAAUACUUGCUGACAACCAAUGUCGAGACG